UACAGAGGUCCCAAGCGUUGUUCGGAUUCACUGGGCGUAAAGGGUGCGUAGGUGGUUGGGUAAGUCUGAUGUGAAAUCUCCGGGCUCAACCCGGAAAUGGCAUUGGAUACUAUUCGGCUAGAGGUUUGGAGGGGGACUGGAAUUCUCGGUGUAGCAGUGAAAUGCGUAGAUAUCGAGAGGAACACCAGUGGCGAAGGCGAGUCCCUGGACAAACACCUGACACUGAGGCACGAAAGCUAGGGGAGCAAACAGGA
rnacentral:rRNA from 1 species